rnacentral:tRNA from 1 species
GGAGGAGCCGGCCGGCUACGGAGACGCCGUUGGAAGCGGCGUACGGGCAAACGCCCGUCGUGGGUUCGAAUCCCACCUCCUCCGC